GGAGGAUCAUUAUCGUAGGGCUUCGACCCUGUCGAGAUAGAACCCUUGCCUUUUUGAGUACCUUUCGUUUCCUCGGCAGGCUCGCCUGCCAAUGGGGACCACAAAAAACACUUUGCAGUACCUGUAACAGUCUGAACAAACAAAACAAAAAUUAAAACUUUCAACAACGGAUCUCUUGGUUCUGGCAUCGAUGAAGAACGCAGCGAAAUGCGAUAAGUAGUGUGAAUUGCAGAAUUCAGUGAAUCAUCGAAUCUUUGAACGCACAUUGCGCCCUUUGGUAUUCCUUAGGGCAUGCCUGUUCGAGCGUCAUUUAAACCUUCAAGCUAAGCUUGGUGUUGGGUGACUGUCCGCUUCACUGCGGACUCGCCUCAAAAUUAUUGGCGGCCGGUACAUUGGCUUCGAGCGCAGCAGAAACGCGAACUCGGGCCCGUCGUAUUGGCUCCCAGAAGCUAUCUUCACAAUUUUGACCUCGGAUCAGGUAGGGAUACCCGCUGAACUUAAGCAUAUCAAUAAGCGGAGAA
rnacentral:rRNA from 1 species